rnacentral:rRNA from 1 species
GACGAACGCUGGCGGCGUGCUUAACACAUGCAAGUCGAGCGGUAAGGCCCUUUCGGGGGUACACGAGCGGCGAACGGGUGAGUAACACGUGGGUGACCUGCCCUCAGCUCUGGGAUAAGCCUGGGAAACCGGGUCUAAUACCGGAUAUGACUCCAUGACGCAUGUUGUGGGGUGGAAAGCCUUGUGCGGCUGAGGAUGGGCCCGCGGCCUAUCAGCUUGUUGGUGGGGUGANGGCCUACCAAGGCGACGACGGGUAGCCGGCCUGAGAGGAUGAUCAGCCACACUGGAACUGAGACACGGUCCAGACUCCUACGGGAGGCAGCAGUGGGGAAUUUUGGACAAUGGGGGCAACCCUGAUCCAGCCAUUCCGCGUGAGUG